UGUGAGAAUUGAGGAAUUUAUUUAUUGAGAAGAAUUAAAUAAAAAUUGGCAUUAAGGAGCCUUGAAAAAACAUCUCAAAAGCAGACAGAACAAGAAGUGUUUACUACGCAGUCACUCUAACCAAGGACUGUCAGAAUCAUCACACUGGGACUGCAGUGUAUGCCCUUGGCCCAAUUCACAGUCUUUGUUUAUUUGACAAUAUCAUUUACUUUCUCUGAUCUUCUCUUUGGUUAAUUUCUUUAUGGAGCUGGGCUUCUUCUGUUCCUGGAUGAUUUCCAGGUAACCUGAGAAUUCAGAGCUGCAGUGGUGCCAUUUGACUCAACCCUGGCCAGAUGUUGCCACUUCCAUACCUCCAGUCAUCAGUGAAUAAAGUUCCAGGUCUCUACGUUCAAAUAUCUUUUUCACCACACCAAGCCUCUGGGAAUGGUGCACUCAUGACCUUGUGGUAUAAACGGUAGCCAUAGGUGUGUUAAGAGGGGAGCUUCUCUUAGACAGUAGGCGGGGUUAGAAGUAAGGCAACAAUUAACAUACAAUGAAAUUACAAAGGCUUGGUAAAGUCAUGAAA